rnacentral:rRNA from 1 species
UUUUCCUACGGGACGCAGCAGUAGGGAAUCUUCCACAAUGGGCGAAAGCCUGAUGGAGCAACGCCGCGUGGGUGAAGAAGGUCUUCGGAUCGUAAAACCCUGUUGUUAGAGAAGAAAGUGCGUGAGAGUAACUGUUCACGUUUCGACGGUAUCUAACCAGAAAGCCACGGCUAACUACGUGCCAGCAGCCUCGGUAAUACGUAGGUGGCAAGCGUUAUCCGGAUUUAUUGUGCGUAAAGGGAACGCAGCAGGUCUUUUAAGAUUGAUUUG